rnacentral:rRNA from 1 species
CCUACGGGGGGCUGCAGUCGAGAAUCUUCGGCAAUGGACGCAAGUCUGACCGAGCGACGCCGCGUGCGGGAUGAAGGCCCUCGGGUUGUAAACCGCUGUCGGAGGGGAUGCAUAGCCUCAAAGGAAGUGUGGGCUAAGUUCGUGCCAGCAGCCGCGGUAAGACGAACCACACAAACGUUAUUCGGAAUUACUGGGCUUAAAGGGUGCGUAGGCGGCGCGGAAAGUAGGGUGUGAAAUCCCUCGGCUCAACCGAGGAAUUGCGCCCUAAACUACCGUGCUCGAGGGAGAUAGAGGUGAGCGGAACUUAGGGUGGAGCGGUGAAAUGCGUUGAUAUCCUAAGGAACACCGGUGGCGAAAGCGGCUCACUGGAUCUCUCUGACGCUGAGGCACGAAAGCUAGGGUAGCGAACGGGAUUAGAUACCCUUGUAGUC